AUGAUGAAGGGAACGUCAUUGUUUUGAAAGCAUUGCAAUAAGACACACAUGUUGUGCCACUGCCAUGGCUCUAAGGCCUAGCACCUUCAGAAGUCUACUUGUGACAACUAUGACUACCCUGCCAAGUGCAAGAGAAAGUGUAACUGGAGUGCAAAGGCUAAAAGACAAAAUACCACCAGGACUGAUUGCAUGAAGCACCUGAAAAUUGUAUACCACAGAUUCAAGCAUGGAUUCUGUGGAGGAACACCACCUAAACCCAAGAGAGCAGCUAUUGCAGCAACUAGUUUAUCU
rnacentral:lncRNA from 1 species